rnacentral:lncRNA from 1 species
CAGACAGAUAAUAGAAAGAUCUCUGUCUGUCUUUUUCUAGCUUUGAGCCGUGCAGCUGAGUGGAUAGCUUCCUGCUGUGGCUGCUGCUCAAAGACGGACAGGACAGGAUGACCCUACCGGAAUGAAGGUGUGUCUCAUUUAGAAAAAUUUGCCUAAUUUUAAAAUAUUUUGUUUACAACUCUCUUUUUAUUCUCACUGUGCAGGGCAGAAAGUGUGGACAGUGUCCAGUGAUGGAACAACACCUAAAAGUCCAAUUCCAACAUAAUCCUCUAAGGGGAGCAGACAGAUGAAGAUCUAAAAGUCUCAUUUAACAGCAGCAUGUUGAUCUGUGAAUGCUCUGCACUUGUUUUAAUGACGACUCAUCUUGAAAACUUCCUUCAUGGGGGUGGGAUGAAGUCUGACAGCAGACAUGUGCAGCAGCAGCAUAAGCUCAGGAGAGACAGAAAAUCUGUACGUUAAUCCAGUUAACAAAUAAAAGCGGUUGUUGAGAACA